AGCUGCGUGGUGGUCACAAAGCGAACUAUUCUUUCGCCUUUUACUAAAGAAUACCGUGUGAUCGCCACAAUUAGCAGCAUACGCUAAUUUUUAUAGGGUGAUCACCUAUUUAAGGAGGUCU
rfam:Zea mays cultivar B73 chromosome 6, whole genome shotgun sequence.